GAGGCGUUCGGACUGGCCCAGGGAGGUCGGCAACGACCACCCAGGGCCGGAAAGUUCUCCAAACUCGAUCAUUUAGAGGAAGUAAAAGUCGUAACAAGGUCUCCGUUGGUGAACCAGCGGAGGGAUCAUUG
rnacentral:rRNA from 1 species